UUAUGGGUAGUGGUAAGCUACCAUGUAGAAGCUGGGAAUGGAACCCAGGUCCCUUGAAAGUGCUUUCAACUGCUGAGCC
rnacentral:miRNA from 1 species